rnacentral:rRNA from 2 species
UGGGGAAUAUUGGGCAAUGGAGGCAACUCUGACCCAGCAACGCCGCGUGAAUGAUGAAGGUCUUCGGAUUGUAAAGUUCUGUGAUGGGGGACGAAGAAAGUGACGGUACCCCAAGAGCAAGCCACGGCUAACUACGUGCCAGCAGCCGCGGUAAUACGUAGGUGGCAAGCGUUGUCCGGAAUGACUGGGCGUAAAGGGUGCGUAGGUGGUUGAUCAAGUUAGUAGUGAAAUCCCAGAGCUUAACUUUGGUGCUACUACUAAGACUGACCGACUUGAGUGCAGGAGAGGUAAGCGGAAUUCCUAGUGUAGCGGUGGAAUGCGUAGAUAUUAGGAGGAACACCAGUGGCGAAAGCGGCUUGCUGGCCUGUAACUGACACUGAAGCACGAAAGCGUGGGGAGCAAACAGG